rnacentral:piRNA from 1 species
UAAAAAAUGUGCACUGUCUUGCUUGUCUGA